AUUGAACGCUGGCGGCAGGCCUAACACAUGCAAGUCGAGCGAGCGGCGGACGGGUGAGUAAUGUAUGGGGAUCUGCCUGAUGGUGGGGGAUAACUACUGGAAACGGUAGCUAAUACCGCAUACCAUCAGAUGCACCCAUAUGGGAUUAGCUUGUAGGUGAGGUAACGGCUCACCUAGGCGACGAUCCCUAGCUGGUCUGAGAGGAUGAUCAGCCACACUGUGACUGGGACACGGCCCAGACUCCUGCGGGAGGCAGCAGUGGGGAAUAUUGCCCAAUGGGCGCAAGCCUGAUGCAGCCAUGCCGCGUGAAUGAAGAAGGCCUUCGGGUUGUAAAGUUCUUUCGGUAGCGAGGCGUUAACUACAGAAGAAGCACCGGCUAACUCCGUGCCAGCAGCCGCGGUAAUAC
rnacentral:rRNA from 1 species